rnacentral:rRNA from 1 species
UACGGAGGGGGCUAGCGUUGCUCGGAAUUACUGGGCGUAAAGAGCGCGCAGGCGGUCGGAUCAGUCGAAUGUGAAAGCCCCCGGCUCAACUGGGGAGGGUCACUCGAUACUGUCCGACUCGAAGGCAGGAGAGGGAAGCGGAAUUCCCGGUGUAGUGGUGAAAUGCGUAGAUAUCGGGAGGAACACCAGUGGCGAAGGCGGCUUUCUGGCCUGUUCUUGACGCUGAGGCGCGAAAGCUAGGGGAGCGAACGGG